rnacentral:rRNA from 1 species
UUCUGCCCUAUGAUUAUUUAAAUGGCUGCAGUAUUCUAACUGUGCAAAGGUAGCAUAAUAAUUAGUCUUUUAAUUGAUGACUUGUAUGAAUGGAUUAAUGAGAAAUUUGUUUUAUUAUUUUUAAAUUUUGAAUUUAAUUUUUAAGUAAAAAAGCUUAAUUUAUUUUUCGGGACGAUAAGACCCUAUAGAACUUUAUUUUUGUUUUAAUUUAAUUUAUUUUGGAUUUUUUUUAAUUUAUUUUUAAGCAAAUUUUUUGUUGGGGUGACAAAUAAAUAUUUACUUUAUUUUUUAUUUUCAUUAAUUUAUGUAGUUUUGAUCCACAUAUUGUGAUUAGAAUAUCAAGUUACCUUAGGGAUAACAGCGUAAUUUUGAUGGGAAGUUCACAUUUAUAUUAAAGUUUGCGACCUCGAUGUUGAAUUAAGAUAAUACUAAGGGGCAG